rnacentral:rRNA from 1 species
AGCGAACGCUGGCGGCAGGCCUAACACAUGCAAGUCGAACGGAUCCUUCGGGAUUAGUGGCGGACGGGUGAGUAAAACGUGGGAACGUGCCCUUUGGUUCGGAACAACUCAGGGAAACUUGAGCUAAUACCGGAUGUGCCCUUCGGGGGAAAGAUUUAUCGGCAUUGGAGCGGCCCGCGUCUGAUUAGCUAGUUGGUGAGGUAACGGCCCACCAAGGCGACGAUCAGUAGCUGGUCUGAGAGGAUGAUCAGCCACAAUGGGACUGAGACACGGCCCAGAAUCGGAGGGGAGGGAGGGGAGGGGAGUAUAACGGGAGGGGGGAAAGCGUGACGAAGCCGUGUCGGGGGAAAGAGGAAUGUCGUAGGAAUGUAAAAUUGUUUCAGCGGAGGCGAUAAUGACGGUACCGGGAAAAGAAGCUCCGGCUAACUACGUG